rnacentral:rRNA from 1 species
CCAGCAGCCGCGGUAAUUCCAGCUCCGCAAGUGUAUUCCUAUACUGUUGCGUUUAAAUAGCUCGUAGUUGGAUCUGCGUGUUUAGCGCGCGGUGCCGUUUUUCGACGGUUACUGCGACGCGACACUGUACGCUGAUUGCAUCUCUUGAGUUGCUGUCAGCAAGUUUACUUUGAACAAAUCAGAGUGCUCAAAACGGGCGUUUCGCUCGAAUGUUCUUGCAUGGAAUAAUGGAAUAGGACCGCGCGUUCUAUUUUGUUGGUUUUCGGGACGCGGGUAAUGAUUAAGAGGGACAGACGGGGGCAUUUGUACUGCGACGUGAGAGGUGAAAUUCUUGGAUCGUCGCAAGACAGACUACUGCGAAAGCAUUUGCCA